AUGGUCGAGUGCUGUCCCAGCUCAGACGGGCUUCCCCGCCACCUUCCGGACAAAGUGUCAAGUACAAGUUCAAGUUCAGGGCCAGGCCUGGGGGGGCGCCGAGCCUUCCCCGGUCGCCUUUGUUCUCCGAGAAAACCGCUCCCACGUCCCCUCCCAGGCGGGGCCCGGCAGAAUACCCCCGCCCCGCCCCACCGCGCCCCGCAGGAGCCGCCUUCUCCCGCCGGCGCGGCGCCUGUCCCCGGGUCCCGGCGCCCCUGCUCGGGGCCACCGAAGGGUCUAGGGGCUCGGGGCGGGGGGAGGCGCGAUCAGAGCCCGUGGGAGCCUCCCCAGCCCCGCAGUCCCAGCGGCAAACUGCGCUCGGUCGGACGGAUGCCCGCGCUGAGGGGCGAGUGCACCGCGAGGCCCUUGGCCGUGAGCAGAAGGGCUCCCGAUUCCACUUGCAACCACCACGUGUCUCCUUGUCCACUGCCCGCCGGCAGCCGCAGAGGAAAGAGCUAUUUCGGGAGCCCUGGGGUGUCCAUAGAAUUGGCAGUGCUGUUCCUUUUGUGUUGCAUCGGGGGAUUGAAACAUGGAGAAGGUGGAAGAACACGGGGUCCAGCCAGCCAGACCUGCGCAGCCCCGACCCCUGCUCGCUUGCUCCAGCUGAGAACUCACCGAGGCUGCUCUGGGCAAUGUCACAUUGUCCCUCUGCCAGCCCAGACCUCGCUGCUGCCGGAGGUGAUGUCACCAGUUCAACCCGGGACCCUGUUCUGCUUGCUCAGCCUCUACAAAUAA
rnacentral:lncRNA from 1 species